rnacentral:rRNA from 1 species
UACGUAGGGUGCAGGCGUUAAUCGGAAUUACUGGGCGUAAAGCGUGCGCAGGCGGCUUCCUAAGUCAGAUGUGAAAUCCCCGGGCUCAACCUGGGAACUGCGUUUGAAACUGGGAGGCUAGAGUGCGGCAGAGGGGGGUGGAAUUCCACGUGUAGCAGUGAAAUGCGUAGAUAUCGGGAGGAACACCAGUGGCGAAGGCGGCGAUCUGGGAAGAUACUGACGCUGAGGUGCGAAAGCGUGGGGAGCAAACAGG